UGCACCUGCUAGUGAAGUUUGUUCAAGGUCUUCAGUUAUGCUAAGCACAUUGAGUUAACUUUUCACACACUGUUGUCACGAGGCAGCACAGGAAAUAGAUUUGCAACCCUAAACAAUCUGCACGGCACUCUAACUUCAUAUUCUCAUAUACUUGUAAAAAUAUAGACAGAGCGUUAAUCUAAUCGUUUUCAGUUCGUUUACACUUCCUGUUAGCUUCAGUUAAACGCAAACAGAAUAUUAUCACUACAGAAGUAAAAUUUAUAUUUUCUCAUGAAGAUGCCAAUGUUGUAGACUCAGACAACAGCUGUUCGUCCAGGUCAAGAAGAAGGCAGCAAGUCAUAACAUAAGGCAAUAUUUGGAAGUCUGAGGCUGUGCAACAAAAAAACCCAGAUCAGGCCCACAUGGAACAUUUCAAGGCUUGGGACCGGCAAUGAAAUUGAACCUCUCUGUGGCUUGGUUGGUUCCCUGCACAUGAAUCAAACCCCUGCCUUGUGAGCACUGGAUCCUGCUGUUGGACCACCAGGGAUUAUAGGACCAUACAUAUCCAUGCAUAACAGUAUGUAACCUGUGGACACAAAUUAUGUAAAUACUUGUAUGUUUUUAUUCAAAUAUAAAUAGCAAAACAUAUAGGUCAACAUAUGUGUCUCAUUUAUAUUCUUUCUUUAUUUUACACCAAAUUUAUUUUACUAUACGUUUUCCCCUAUAUACAGUAAUGUACCGUUUAAGCAACACAUUCUUUUUGCAGCAGAUACAAAAGUCUCAAAUGUAUUCAAAUGUGAGUAUUCUCUGGAAACAGUGAAGUAAAAGUAAUUUUCAUGCACCACAUAAUGCUGUGUGCCUCUGCAACUGAACUUCUUUCUGUAAUCUGCAGGCCUGCAUUGCAAACAGUCCCUUAAGUGGCAUGGUUUGUAACCGUUACAUUGUACAGAGGAAAUAGCUGUGUUGUGAUGCUUAGACAUCAGACCCCAGAAAUAGACUAUGAUGUCAGCUACGUGGAUGCCAGAAUAGCACAGCAUAGCACAUUGAGGCAUUGAGUCAUAUGUCUCCGUCACAUAUAUAUAAGUGAAGUGAGGUAACACUCUAAUCAGGUAUUUCCCAGACGUUGCUUCGUCAUAAUUAAAAAAAAUGUGGGAGGGGAUAAUGACUUAGCGUUGAGCAUGUAUGCUUUACACCUCCAGGGUUGGGGGUUCGAUUCUCGCCUCCACACGUGUUGCAGGUUCACUCCAUGCUUCAGUGCUUUAAUCCAGGUACUCUGGGUUUCUCCCCCAGCCCAAAGACAUCUGUUGUAGCUGAUUGGCUUCUUUAAUUGUUUGCAGUUUGUGGGAUGGGUGUGUGAGUGUGUCCUGGUUGUCCCCCACCUUGUGCCACUGGUCCCAUGAGGCUACAGACUACUUCCUUGUAUGUGUAUGUGAGUCUUAUGGUACCACAUUCUUUUGUAGCUUUAAUGUCUAUGUUUACAAUUUUGAGGCUUUUAGCUAAUUACUGGUUUAUCAUUCAUUUAAAAAAGAUCUUUCUGACUACAGACAACUCAUUCAGGAAAUGAUUAGUUGAACAUGUAAUCUAAACACAGAGUCUCUCGUAGAAGCAACAGCUUUUUUAAUGCACAUCGUGUGUGAAUCAUCCUCCAGCCUUUCAUCAGUGUUGUUUCAGGCCACUUGGCUGUUGAUGCUACUACAUAUUUUUGGUAGACAGAAUUUUUCUCAUUUCAACAGAGACAUGGAGGUGUUCAGACAGGUUUACCAGUGUCACACCAAUACCGUGUGACACAUUACAGGACACGGUACACCCACUCAUUCAUCAGAGGAAACCCAUGUGGAUAUAGGAAGAAAACUGUGAGACAAAAUUCAAAGCUCAGCAUCAAAUCUGAGAUCCAUUUACAUUGCUGCUGUGCUAUUUAACCAACUAGACAGACAGACAGACAGAUACAUAAACAGACAGACAGACAGACAGACAGACAGACAGACAGACAGACAGACAGACAGAUAGAUAGAUAGAUAGAUAGAUAGAUAGAUAGAUAGAUAGAUAGAUAGAUAGAUAGAUAGAUAGAUAGAUAGAUAGAUAGAUCUACUGUAACUUUUUAAGCCAUUAGAGCACUGUACAGUGCAUAGAUUUCUAUCUAGCUCUAUAAUCUGAUUGUCUUACAUAGCACCCUGUUUUAUCACACUUCAGGUGGAAUGACCCUAUAGCUGCUGAGAGCAUCCCCUCUUAAAUUCCCCUGUGUAGACAGCAAGGAAAUGCUUGUUGCAGUAAUGCUAAAUUUGACAACAUUAGCAAGAAAUGUUAUACAUAAACAGGCUUUUGGAUAUGUGCCAAAGCUCUUUUGUAAAAAGCCAUGUCAUAUGUUUCAGAUAUAAAUCUAUACCCAAAACUGAAGGCAUGCUAAACUGUUUUUUAAAAACUCAGCAUAAUGAUUUAUUAAACAAUCAGCCACUUUGACAUUUGUCAUUCUAGUGUUGUCAUUUCUAUAGUAACUGCUUCAAUUUAUAUUUCAGGCAGAUUCUAGAAAUAAACGUAUUCGAAAUCAUGUGUAAUUGUCUAUAAGAUAAAGUUUUCUGGGAGAUAUUUGUUGAGCAUAAAGAAACAGUGAUAUUUCAUGGUCCACUACAAUAACUGAAACUAAUUAUAACGUGUGAUUUGACUGACCCUGAAGGUCUGUAUGAAAUGUUGUAAUACCUAAAAAUAGUAAUUGGAAUAAGUUUUAGGUGAUUCAUGUUAUGCAUUUGACAUCAUCUUAAAUAAUCUUAAUAAGGAAUUAUUAUAUCCUGUGAUUAAUUUUCACAUACAUUUUUGUUGAUGCAUCCUAUAUUUCAUCUUUAAAGUUUAUUUCUGUAAUUUAAAAGAUGUAGGCGUUUGUCUUUUAUUAAAAAUGCUACAGGAUGAAGCGUUACUCUCAUUUAUCUCAAACCUGUUUUACAAAAGAAACCUGAGAGCUUUCGCUUUCUAUAGUUUCUCCGUCUUUUGUGUAUGGAUUUUAUAAAUGCAAGUUCGCUGUCUUAUUAUUUCAUAAUAGUGCAUCGUGUUUGAUAUGUAUCAGUAACGUGAAUAGUGAUAAGCAGUGACAUAGAGUAUACAAAACAAAUUUCAACGACCUGCCCUUAAUUAAACCGCGUCUUUCUUUUUUGCUGAGUACGUUUAUUUUAAAGAAAAGGUAAAAGUGCAAACUACUAAACUUUUUCAAGUUUCUGACUCAUGGGCUUGUCUUUACACCAUCUAAGUUGGGUACGACAGCAUAUUCCAUUUCCUCACCCCUCACCCAAGUUUGUGCUUAGUGGAAUUCACCCAAAUGGGACUUUUUUUAACAUGGACUUUAUUGUUUUGUCUUUAUUUUACCAUUUAUUCUGCAAUGCAUUGUUACCGCUAAAUAAAAAUAGAUAAACAUUACCGCAAAGCUAUGCAGAAUCAAUAGUUACCUGGUUACCCUGCCAUUGUAACUUCAAGAUCUUGGUUGAAGCUCUAGCAUUUUAACUACAGGGCUAUUUGUAUUGUGGGUGUCAAAAGGUCAUUUUUCAUAGUAGGUGUGAAUAUGGGUAAAGGGGAAUGCCACUAUUAGAUCUGCAAGCAUGUGCUAUACCUUAAUAAUUUGUCUGGUACAUAAAAGAAUCUACAAACUAUAUUGUUCUCAGUUUCUGUGAAAGGUUAAACUCGUACUUUUUAUUUUCCAUCGUAAAUCCAAAUGAUUUCGCAGCCAUUUGAUUCACAGUAUAACUUCAAACAUCGUUGAGUGCUGCGUAGGUAUAAUCGUGUAGGGGGCCUUGUUAACAAAUAUAGUUGACUAUGUUUCUGGAGGCUAGUGGUUGAUAGUCAGCAGCUAUUUCUGGUAUAGGGUGCUCAAGUUCCUCUCACUUAAGAGAGAUGGUGUGAUGAUAUGCUCAUUUGGAGGAAGUUUCAACUCUCAUUCCUGCCAUUACGUUCGCUCCCGACGACUACUUUUGUAACUGUAUCUAUCAGUCUGCCUUUAGGUCAAACCACACUUUAAAUGACUCAGUGGCUUUUCUACAGAGUGACCUGACAGUUUUCCCACCGCAGAUCUCCGUCUUUCUGUCUCCAUGGCUCACAACCUGUCUUUAUGUCCAACAGGUGGCAGGAAAAAUUCUGAUGAUGGCCAUGGGUGCUGGAAAGUACACAAAUUUCCCUAUGCAGGUAAAAAGAGAGGAGGAAGUUCGAGGUACUUAGUAAUGCUAAAGCAAAUACAAAAUGACACUCUUCUCAGUCAUGUAUCAGGAAUCAGGCUCCUUUAACCAGAUUGUGUAAAAAUGGCACAAGUCUAUAUUUCAACAGCACAGCUGCUUCCGUCCACAUUCAACCUGGCGUCAUGCUGCCAUCUGACCUACUGUACACUCACUGGAACUUUGAACAGAUAAACCCACAAUAUUCUAACCGUAACACCUAAACCUACUGACUGUAAUCCAUCUGUGCUAUAUCAAACAUUUCAACUCUAUCUACUCUGUACAUCAACGACAACCAGGGGACCACAUAUUUUUUGAGGGGUGUUUUUUUCUCAACACUGACCUCACUGGUAUAGUCAUCGCUUUGUGUACAUUAGAUCACCAUAGAUGCAUGAUGACUCAAAACUGAGAUUAUAAUCUUAAAAUGAACAAAAUGAUCUGCGACUGCUAUCCAUUCAUCCAGAUAUAUCAUCGUCUAUCUAUCGUGAAGCAGCUCAGGGACUUCAUUAUCAGAAAUUGGAAACGAAGGACUGAUUUGAACUGAUAUAUUCUGAAUCUUGGCAUGCUCUGAACUGGGUUGACUGUAUGAUACUAUUUGCAUAUGACCUCAUCGCAUGAUCAUGAUAUCCGUUGUUUUGACCUAAAAAUACUUUCUGUUCUGUUUUGAUAAACAUGCGCCAAACACAGACACUCCUCAUAUUCUCCAGCAGAGAGCACUGUACUCUCAAUUCAGACCUUCACUGUAGCAGCUUUAAUGUGCUUGACCUUCAUGUGAGAGUAGAAUCUAAUAUUUAUCUGUUUUGUCUGUUAGUCACUAACACAGUGGCUGAUAUUUCUGUGAGUUUUACAUACUGUCAGUCACCCAACUCCCAAAUCCCCACCCCACCCCACCACCCCACACACGAGCACACACACGAGCACACACAC